rnacentral:piRNA from 1 species
UGCUCAUAGGAAUCUCCAUUCUCCUCC